CUGGGCCAGUGUGUGUUGCGGUCGGUUAGCUGGGCCAGUGUGUGUUGCGGUCGGUUAGCUGGGCAAGUGUGUUGUGUGUUGCGGUUGGUUAGCUGGGCCAGUGUGUGUGUGCUGUGGUUGGUUAGCUGGGCCAGUGUGUGUGUGCUGUGGUUGGUUAGCUGGGCCAGUGUGUGUUGCGGUUGGUUAGCUGGGCCAGUGUGUGUUGCGGUUGGUUAGCUGGGCCAGUGUGUGUGUGCUGUGAUUGGUUAGCUGGGCCAGUGUGUGUUGCGGUUGGUUAGCUGGGCCAGUGUGUGUGUGCUGUGAUUGGUUAGCUGGGCCAGUGUGUGUUGCGGUUGGUUAGCUGGGCCAGUGUGUGUGUUGCGGUUGGUUAGCUGGGCCAGUGUGUGUGUGCUGUGAUUGGUUAGCUGGGCCAGUGUGUGUGUGUGCUGUGAUUGGUUAGCUGGGCCAGUGUGUGUGUGCUGUGGUUGGUUAGCUGGGCCAGUGUGUGUUGCCGUUGGUUAGCUGGGCCAGUGUGUGUGUGCU
ensembl:lncRNA